CUGGGUAAAGGCAUCCGUGCCUGCAACCCCACCCUUUGUAACCGCGGCCCGGAUUCGGCGCCUGGCGGGGGGACCCCUCUGUUCGCGGAGGGCCUCUCGCCUGCCGGAAUCAGCCAACACUGUCUUAAAAUUGAAGUCUGAGAACAAGUUAAAUAAAAAAUA
rnacentral:misc_RNA from 1 species